AUUGCAGGUUCGAGGGUAGUGAGGAACUUACUAUAUAAAAGGACAAAAAGAGUUGUGAUGGCAAAAGUAUUAUCAGUUGAGUUUCAGCCAGGGUAAAGGAACACUCUGUACCCGGCCUGAGUCAGUCACUUAGAUAUUAAGGGAAGAAUAGUAGAAGUCUGGGCUCUGGACUGAGUUGCUAGUAGUGACUUUCAGGUUUUCUAAGAUCCAAGAGCUAUACAUUUGCAGCUUCCAGGACACCAAAAAGGACUGGACAGAAAGACAUGGUGCUCACACAGUCAUUGAGUGUCUGCUGGUGCACAACAGAAACCACAAAACUUACAAGACUGAUGGAAGAGAGCCUGGUAGGUGAGUUACAGGAAGCUGCCUUUGCUCAAUCCUGAGCACUGGAGUUACAGAACACUGUGGCCACUAGCUUUGAUAUGGGUGAAGACCUGAGCUCAGGUACUCAUGUUUAGUGCUUAAUGGAGGUUUUGCAGCAGAAGAGGCUGUUCUAUUACCUUGGUUCUGCCAUGAUUUUCAAGAUGAGAGUACCCAGCUUGAUGAAGACUCAAGUAGCACAUAAUGAAGUCAAGACCCAGGCCAGGAUAACAAAGGGAGCCGCUGAAGUCUGUUCUGAAGGCACCAUGACAAAGCACCAGACAGAAAGCGGUCACGUGUGGGGAGAUGAGCAGACACCACUUCGCGGGCACCUGAUUAUUCUUUUCUCGGUAUUGAGAAGCAAAAAUUACCCUACGGAAAACAGUUGCAUAUGCAAAACCACAAAUCGCUCAGUGUUAUAAAUGGCACAGUGUAUGCAGAUAAAUCCCCACGCACGGCUCUGAAAAUAUGCCCAGCAGAGGAGAAAUACUGCACAGCUUGUCUUUCCACACUCCGGAUUGCUGCUCUGUUCUUCCAUGGUAUUGUUUAAUCCAAGAAUGAUAAGGACCUUUUAUUUGUAUGUUUGGAGCAUGCUGCUACUUUAAAAAAAAAUCACAGUUUUUCUACAGGCAGAAGGAUGGUCAAGAUGAGCUGCAGCAGCUCCUCCUAGCCAGCUUUAUUUGGAACGUGGAAGACAAGAGCUCAUCCUGUUGGAUGCAUAGAGAAGCAAAUUGGCAAAGAUCAGGAGAAGGUAACAGGCUGUUUUAAAGAGCUAUGUAAAAGAAAACGUCUGAAUUCAAAGGAGGUCAGAUUCUUCAUUGACCCAGGGCAUCAGAAAGGGAAGCCGGCAUGUGCAAUCUUGUCCUCUUUCAUUUUUACCUCCAUGGUCAAAAAGCCGUACCAGAAUGAACACUGUAAAGAAUUUGCUUUCUUCCCCGAGCUUGAGCAUGGAGGAAUUAGCUCCCUGGAUUUCAAGAGGGAAAGGCUGAAGAGGAAGGUGACUGGAAUAUUAAGGACUGUCAGAUAUUCGGAGGAAACUCUAAUUUGUAAAUUGGUAGAAAUGCCAGUAAUUUGUUGGGAAUUGAAGACCUUCUGUAUUCACAAGUGAAGCUUGGCAGCUGUGCACUGUUGUUUUGCAAAUCAAUAUUACAUC
rnacentral:lncRNA from 1 species